CUACGGGCGGCACCAGUGGGGAAUAUUGGACAAUGGGCGAAAGCCUGAUCCAGCAAUGCCGCGUGAGUGAUGAAGGCCUUAGGGUUGUAAAGCUCUUUUACCAGGGAUGAUAAUGACAGUACCUGGAGAAUAAGCUCCGGCUAACUCCGUGCCAGCAGCCGCGGUAAUACGGAGGGAGCUAGCGUUGUUCGGAAUUACUGGGCGUAAAGCGUGCGUAGGCGGUUAUUUAAGUCAGGGGUGAAAUCCCGGAGCUCAACUCCGGAACUGCCCUUGAAACUAGAUGACUAGAAUCAUGGAGAGGUGAGUGGAAUUCCGAGUGUAGAGGUGAAAUUCGUAGAUAUUCGGAAGAACACCAGUGGCGAAGGCGACUCACUGGACAUGUAUUGACGCUGAGGUACGAAAGCGUGGGGAGCAAACAGGAUUAGAUACCCGAGUAGUC
rnacentral:rRNA from 1 species